rnacentral:rRNA from 1 species
CUUUUCUACCGAGUGCUUGCACUCACUUGAAAAGAGGAGUGGCGGACGGGUGAGUAACACGUGGGUAACCUGCCCAUCAGAGGGGGAUAACACUUGGAAACAGGUGCUAAUACCGCAUAAUAGUCGACACCGCAUGGUGUUGAUUUGAAAGACGCUUUCGGGGGUCACUGAUGGAUGGACCCGCGGUGCAUUAGCUAGUUGGUGAGGUAACGGCUCACCAAGGCGAUGAUGCGUAGCCGACCUGAGAGGGUGAUCGGCCACACUGGGACUGAAACACGGCCCAGACUCCUACGGGAGGCAGCAGUAGGGAAUCUUCGGCAAUGGACGAAAGUCUGACCGAGCAACGCCGCGUGAGUGAAGAAGGUUUUCGGAUCGUAAAACUCUGUUGUUAGAGAAGAAUAAGUAGGAGAGUAACUGCUCUUACCUUGACGGUAUCUAACCAGAAAGCCACGGCUAACUACGUGCCAGCAGCCGCGGUAAUACGUAGGUGGCAAGCGUUGUCCGGAUUUAUUGGGCGUAAAGCGAGCGCAGGCGGUUUCUUAAGUCUGAUGUGAAAGCCCCCGGCUCACCCGGGGAGGGUCAUUGGAAACUGGGGAGACUUGAGUGCAGAAGAGGAGAGUGGAAUUCCAUGGUGUAGCGGUGAAAUGCGUAGAUAUAUGGGAGGAACACCAGUGGCGAAGGCGACUCUCUGGUCUGUAACUGACGCUGAGGCUCGAAAGCGUGGGGAGCAAACAGGAUUAGAUACCCUGGUAGUCCACGCCGUAAACGAUGAGUGCUAGGUGUGUUGGGAGGGGUUUCCGCCCUUCAGUGCUGCAGCAACGCAUUAAGCACUCCGCCCUGGGGAGUACGACCGCAAGGUUGAAACUCAAGGGAAAUUGACGGGGGCCCGCACAGCGGGUGG